AUUGAACGCUGGCGGCAGGCCUAACACAUGCAAGUCGAGCGGGGCGGCGGACGGGUGAGUAAUGACUGGAAAUCGACCUGGUAGUGGGGGAUGACGGCCGGAUGCGGGCGCUAAUACCGCAUGCUCUCAGUUGAGCCUAGGUCGGAUUGGCUAGUUGGUGGGGUAAAGGCUUACCAAGGCGAGGAUCCGUAACUGGUCUGAGAGGAUGAUCAGUCACACUGGAACUGAGACACGGUCCAGACUCCUACGGGAGGCAGCAGUGGGGAAUAUUGCACAAUGGGCGCAAGCCUGAUGCAGCCAUGCCGCGUGUAUGAAGAAGGCCUUCGGGUUGUAAAGUACUUUCAGCGGGGAGGCGUUACCCGCAGAAGAAGCACCGGCUAACUCCGUGCCAGCCGCCGCGGUAAUUC
rnacentral:rRNA from 1 species